rnacentral:rRNA from 1 species
GAUUAAGUUAUUAAGGGCGCACGGUGGAUGCCUUGGCACUAGAAGCCGAUGAAGGACGUUACUAACGACGAUAUGCUUUGGGGAGCUGUAAGUAAGCUUUGAUCCAGAGAUUUCCGAAUGGGGAAACCCAGCAUGAGUUAUGUCAUGUUAUCGAUAUGUGAAUACAUAGCAUAUCAGAAGGCACACCCGGAGAACUGAAACAUCUUAGUACCCGGAGGAAGAGAAAGAAAAUUCGAUUCCCUUAGUAGCGGCGAGCGAAACGGGAAGAGCCCAAACCAACAAGCUUGCUUGUUGGGGUUGUAGGACACUCUAUACGGAGUUACAAAGGACGACAUUAGACGAAUCAUCUGGAAAGAUGAAUCAAAGAAGGUAAUAAUCCUGUAGUCGAAAAUGUUGUCUCUCUUGAGUGGAUCCUGAGUACGACGGAGCACGUGAAAUUCCGUCGGAAUCUGGGAGGACCAUCUCCUAAGGCUAAAUACUCUCUAGUGACCGAUAGUGAACCAGUACCGUGAGGGAAAGGUGAAAAGCACCCCGGAAGGGGAGUGAAAUAGAACCUGAAACCGUGUGCUUACAAGUAGUCAGAGCCCGUUAAUGGGUGAUGGCGUGCCUUUUGUAGAAUGAACCGGCGAGUUACGAUUUGAUGCAAGGUUAAGCAGUAAAUGUGGAGCCGUAGCGAAAGCGAGUCUGAAUAGGGCGUUUAGUAUUUGGUCGUAGACCCGAAACCAGGUGAUCUACCCUUGGUCAGGUUGAAGUUCAGGUAACACUGAAUGGAGGACCGAACCGACUUACGUUGAAAAGUGAGCGGAUGAACUGAGGGUAGCGGAGAAAUUCCAAUCGAACCUGGAGAUAGCUGGUUCUCUCCGAAAUAGCUUUAGGGCUAGCCUCAAGUGAUGAUUAUUGGAGGUAGAGCACUGUUUGGACGAGGGGCCCCUCUCGGGUUACCGAAUUCAGACAAACUCCGAAUGCCAAUUAAUUUAACUUGGGAGUCAGAACAUGGGUGAUAAGGUCCGUGUUCGAAAGGGAAACAGCCCAGACCACCAGCUAAGGUCCCAAAAUAUAUGUUAAGUGGAAAAGGAUGUGGCGUUGCCCAGACAACUAGGAUGUUGGCUUAGAAGCAGCCAUCAUUUAAAGAGUGCGUAAUAGCUCACUAGUCGAGUGACACUGCGCCGAAAAUGUACCGGGGCUAAACAUAUUACCGAAGCUGUGGAUUGUCCUUUGGACAAUGGUAGGAGAGCGUUCUAAGGGCGUUGAAGCAUGAUCGUAAGGACAUGUGGAGCGCUUAGAAGUGAGAAUGCCGGUGUGAGUAGCGAAAGACGGGUGAGAAUCCCGUCCACCGAUUGACUAAGGUUUCCAGAGGAAGGCUCGUCCGCUCUGGGUUAGUCGGGUCCUAAGCUGAGGCCGACAGGCGUAGGCGAUGGAUAACAGGUUGAUAUUCCUGUACCACCUAUAAUCGUUUUAAUCGAUGGGGGGACGCAGUAGGAUAGGCGAAGCGUGCGAUUGGAUUGCACGUCUAAGCAGUAAGGCUGAGUAUUAGGCAAAUCCGGUACUCGUUAAGGCUGAGCUGUGAUGGGGAGAAGACAUCGUGUCUUCGAGUCGUUGAUUUCACACUGCCGAGAAAAGCCUCUAGAUAGAAAAUAGGUGCCCGUACCGCAAACCGACACAGGUAGUCAAGAUGAGAAUUCUAAGGUGAGCGAGCGAACUCUCGUUAAGGAACUCGGCAAAAUGACCCCGUAACUUCGGGAGAAGGGGUGCUCUUUAGGGUUAACGCCCAGAAGAGCCGCAGUGAAUAGGCCCAAGCGACUGUUUAUCAAAAACACAGGUCUCUGCUAAACCGUAAGGUGAUGUAUAGGGGCUGACGCCUGCCCGGUGCUGGAAGGUUAAGAGGAGUGGUUAGCUUCUGCGAAGCUACGAAUCGAAGCCCCAGUAAACGGCGGCCGUAACUAUAACGGUCCUAAGGUAGCGAAAUUCCUUGUCGGGUAAGUUCCGACCCGCACGAAAGGCGUAACGAUUUGGGCACUGUCUCAACGAGAGACUCGGUGAAAUCAUAGUACCUGUGAAGAUGCAGGUUACCCGCGACAGGACGGAAAGACCCCGUGGAGCUUUACUGUAGCCUGAUAUUGAAAUUCGGCACAGCUUGUACAGGAUAGGUAGGAGCCUUUGAAACGUGAGCGCUAGCUUACGUGGAGGCGCUGGUGGGAUACUACCCUAGCUGUGUUGGCUUUCUAACCCGCACCACUUAUCGUGGUGGGAGACAGUGUCAGGCGGGCAGUUUGACUGGGGCGGUCGCCUCCUAAAAGGUAACGGAGGCGCUCAAAGGUUCCCUCAGAAUGGUUGGAAAUCAUUCAUAGAGUGUAAAGGCAUAAGGGAGCUUGACUGCAAGACCUACAAGUCGAGCAGGGUCGAAAGACGGACUUAAUGAUCCGGUGGUUCCGCAUGGAAGGGCCAUCGCUCAACGGAUAAAAGCUACCCCGGGGAUAACAGGCUUAUCUCCCCCAAGAGUUCACAUCGACGGGGAGGUUUGGCACCUCGAUGUCGGCUCAUCGCAUCCUGGGGCUGUAGUCGGUCCCAAGGGUUGGGCUGUUCGCCCAUUAAAGCGGUACGCGAGCUGGGUUCAGAACGUCGUGAGACAGUUCGGUCCCUAUCCGUCGUGGGCGUAGGAAAUUUGAGAGGAGCUGUCCUUAGUACGAGAGGACCGGGAUGGACAUACCUCUGGUGUACCAGUUGUCGUGCCAACGGCAUAGCUGGGUAGCUAUGUGUGGACGGGAUAAGUGCUGAAAGCAUCUAAGCAUGAAGCCCCCCUCAAGAUGAGAUUUCCCAACUUCGGUUAUAAGAUCCCUCAAAGAUGAUGAGGUUAAUAGGUUCGAGGUGGAAGCAUGGUGACAUGUGGAGCUGACGAAUACUAAUCGAUCGAAGACUUAAUCAA